GGAAUAUUGCACAAUGGGCGAAAGCCUGAUGCAGCAACGCCGCGUGCGCGAUGAAGGCCUUCGGGUUGUCAAGCGCUUUUCUGGGGGAAGAGUAAGGACGGUACCCCAGGAAUAAGUCUCGGCUAACUACGUGCCCGCACCCGCGGUAAAACGUAGGCGGCAAGCGGUAUCCGGAUUUACUGGGCGUAAAGGGCGUGCAGGCGGCUUGGUAAGUCGGACGUGAAAGCUCCCGGCUCAACUGGGAGAGGCCGUUCGAAACUACCAGGCUAGAGGGCAGCAGAGGGAGGUGGAAUUCCGGGUGUAGCGGUGAAAUGCGUAGAUAUCCGGAGGAACACCAGUGGCGAAAGCGGCCUCCUGGACUGUCCCUGACGCUAAGACGCGAAAGCUAGGGGAGCGAAC
rnacentral:rRNA from 1 species